rnacentral:rRNA from 1 species
CUCAGGGAGGUAGUGACAAGAAAUAACAACACUGGAAAUUUUAUUUCUAGUGAUUGGAAUGAUGGGAAUUUAAACCCCUUUCAGAGUAACAAUUGGAGGGCAAGUCUGGUGCCAGCAGCCGCGGUAAUUCCAGCUCCAAUAGCGUAUAUUAAAGUUGUUGCAGUUAAAAAGCUCGUAGUUGGAUGUCUGCUGGAAGCAAUCAGUCCGCCCUAUUUGUAGGGUGUGCACUUGAUGAAUUCUGGCAUCUAUGUCCUAAUGUGAUAGAUACGGCGAUGUAUAUGGGUUAAUCCUAUAUACACGUUUGUAUAUUAUAUUGGGAUAAUACCGUUACUUUGAGAAAAUUAGAGUGUUUGAAGCAGGCUAAUUGCCUUGAAUACUGCAGCAUGGAAUAACAAUAUAGGAUUUCGGUUCUAUUUUGUUGGUUUCUAGGACUGAAAUAAUGAUUAAUAGGGACAGUUGGGGGCAUUCGUAUUUAACUGUCAGAGGUGAAAUUCUUAGAUUUGUUAAAGACGAACUACUGCGAAAGCAUUUGCCAAAGAUGUUUUCAUUAAUCAAGAACGAAAGUUAGGGGCUCGAAGACGAUCAGAUACCGUCGUAGUCUUAACCAUAAACUAUGCCGACUAGAGAUAGGAAACUGUCAUUUUUCUGACUU